AUUGAACGCUGGCGGCAUGCCUUACACAUGCAAGUCGAACGGCAGCACGGGUGCUUGCACCUGGUGGCGAGUGGCGAACGGGUGAGUAAUACAUCGGAACGUACCUUAUCGUGGGGGAUAACGCAGCGAAAGCUGUGCUAAUACCGCAUACGCCCUGAGGGGGAAAGCGGGGGAUCGCAAGACCUCGCGCGAUUAGAGCGGCCGAUGCCUGAUUAGCUAGUUGGUGGGGUAAAAGCCCACCAAGGCGACGAUCAGUAGCUGGUCUGAGAGGACGAUCAGCCACACUGGGACAGAGACACGGCCCAGACUCCUACGGGAGGCAGCAGUGGGGAAUUUUGGACAAUGGGGGCAACCCUGAUCCAGCAAUGCCGCGUGAGUGAAGAAGGCCUUCGGGUCGUAAAGCUCUUUUGUCAGGGAAGAAACACCGGCUCUAACACAGCCCGGGAAUGACGGUACCUGAAGAAUAAGCACCGGCUAACUACGUGCCAGCAGCCGCGGUAA
rnacentral:rRNA from 1 species